CAGUAGCCGCGGUAAUACGGAGGGCGCGAGCGUUACCCGGAUUUACUGGGCGUAAAGGGCGUGUAGGCGGCCUGGGGCGUCCCAUGUGAAAGGCCACGGCUCAACCGUGGAGGAGCGUGGGAUACGCUCAGGCUAGAGGGUGGGAGAGGGUGGUGGAAUUCCCGGAGUAGCGGUGAAAUGCGCAGAUACCGGGAGGAACGCCGAUGGCGAAGGCAGCCACCUGGUCCUCUCCUGACGCUGAAGCGCGAAAGCGUGGGGAGCAAACCGGAUUAGAUACCCCCGUAGUCCCUGUCUCUUAUAC
rnacentral:rRNA from 1 species